UACGUAGGGUGCAAGCGUUGUCCGGAAUUAUUGGGCGUAAAGAGCUCGUAGGCGGUUUGUCGCGUCUGCUGUGAAAACCCGAGGCUCAACCUCGGGCCUGCAGUGGGUACGGGCAGACCAGAGUGCGGUAAGGGAGAUUGGAAUUCCUGGUGUAGCGGUGGAAUGCGCAGAUAUCAGGAGGAACACCGAUGGCGAAGGCAGAUCUCUGGGCCGUAACUGACGCUGAGGAGCGAAAGCAUGGGGAGCGAACAGG
rnacentral:rRNA from 1 species